rnacentral:tRNA from 2 species
GCCGGAGUAGCUCAGUCGGUAGAGCAACUGAUUCGUAAUCAGUAGGUCGGAGGUUCGAUUCCUCUCUUCGGCACCA